UACGAAGGGGGCUAGCGUUGCUCGGAAUCACUGGGCGUAAAGGGUGCGUAGGCGGGUCUUUUAAGUCAGGGGUGAAAUCCUGGAGCUCAACUCCAGAACUGCCUUUGAUACUGAAGAUCUUGAGUUCGGGAGAGGUGAGUGGAACUGGCGAGUGUAGAGGUGAAAUUCGUAGAUAUUCGCAAGAACACCAGUGGCGAAGGCGGCUCACUGGCCCGAUACUGACGCUGAGGCACGGAAAGCGUGGGGAGCAACAGGG
rnacentral:rRNA from 1 species